rnacentral:lncRNA from 1 species
AGUCUCGGGAGGACUCCAGAGCCCCGAAUCUUUGACUGCUGCUCAGCCGUGGCUCCUGGGUGCUCCAGACCUGUGCAUGUGUCCCUGGGGACGCUGUGGGGUGGGCUGGGUUUUGGCUGGGGGUCCUCUUGCCACCAGUGCCCAGGGAGAUGAGAGCUGGCAGCGCCGUUUCUUUUCGGGCCCUCUCAAUGCUGCUGGGACUUGCUCCACCAUGUUCCCACCUUGUUCCCACAGCUCACUGCCGACACCACAGAGCACAGCCAGGAGCAGAAGGCAGAGCUGAGCCAGUGCCUCCUGCUGCAAGGUAAGGAGAGGAGCUGUGGCGCUGCCCCGUGGUGUCCCAGCAGCUCUCUCCCAAACCUGCUUGCUAAUGCAGGAUGGGAUUUCCUCCCCACAGCUCGCAUCUGCCCAGAGGAGACGAUCCCGUUCCUGGAGUCCCAGCUGGGCCACGAGAGGGAGGCCGUGCGCGUGGCAGCCCUGGGUCUGCUCGGUGCUCUGGCACGCUGUGACGAGCCCACGAUGGCAGAGAAGCUGCCCCAGGUGGUGGAGGCUGUCAAGCGUGUGUGCAGGGACCCCAGCAUCCGGGUGAGGAGGGCAGUUCUGCACUUCAUCAGGGAGCUGCUCAGUGCCAAUGCCCAGAGCUGAUCAGCGUGGGACGUUGUGGGCUACAUCUUCAGCGAGUUCAGCCAGAGCUCGAGCAAGAAGGGUAAGGAGAGCGUGCAACAUCUUCCCUGGGGAGAUCUGCUGCCAGGAGGCUGGCAUGGGAGCCUGCUGGGGCCACGCCUGAGCCUUCUGGGGCAGGAACUGAGAGCAAGCGGGGCGGGGGGUUCCCAAUGUUGUCUUGCAGGCUGCGGGACUCCUGUCUGCCCAGGAAGAAGGAGCUCUCCGAGGGCUGUGCAUGGACGUCCUGGGGUCCCUGGACAUCUCUGUGAGAGGGAUGGCCAAAGUAAGUCCUCCUCUGUCCUGCUGCUGCUGCUGCUCCUCUCCUCUCUUCAGGCCAUUUGUUCCUGGCCCCCUUUGCACACUUGAAAGCUCCCCCCCAGCAUGCCACGGGGCCCCCGCCCACGUGCGGG